GAUCCUGGCUCAGGAUGAACGCUAGCUACAGGCUUAACACAUGCAAGUCGAGGGGAAACGACAUCGAAAGCUUGCUUCCGAUGGGCGUCGACCGGCGCACGGGUGAGUAACGCGUGGGUAACCUGCCCUGUACAGGGGGACAACAGCUGGAAACGGCUGCUAAUACCGCAUAAGCCCUUAGCACUGCAUGGUGCAUAGGGAAAAGGAGCAAUCCGGUACAGGAUGGACCCGCGUCUGAUUAG
rnacentral:rRNA from 1 species